rnacentral:rRNA from 1 species
GUUGGCUUGGAAGCAGCCAUUCAUUUAAAGAGUGCGUAACAGCUCACUAGUCGAGGAGUUUGGCGUGGAUAAUAAUCGGGCAUAAGUAUUCUACCGAAGCUUUGGGAUGAGAAAUCAUCGGUAGGGGAGCAUUCCACUCGGCGUCGAAGGUGAGGCGCGAGCUUUGCUGGAGCGUGUGGAAAAGCAAAUGUAGGUAUAAGUAACGAUAAAGGGGGUGGGAAACCCCCUCGCCGAAAGACUAAGGUUUCCUGAUCAACGCUAAUCGGAUCAGGGUAAGUCGGGUCCUAAGGCUCAGCCGAACGGCGAGGCCGAUGGCAGAACCGGUUAAUAUUCCGGUACUACCUGUGGGAGUGACGUGGAGACGGAGUCGUGACAGCGCCGCGGACUGACGGAAUAGUCCGUUGAAGGGUGUAGAUGCUGAUUGUUCCAGGCAAAUCCGGAGCAAGAGUCGAACCUGAUAGUAUGGAGCGUUCUUAGAACAAUCCAAUAGUGCGUGUAAUCAUACUCCCAAGAAAAUCCGCUAAACUUAAUCCUGCAGGUACCCGUACCGCAAACGGACACACGUAGUCGGGUUGAAUAUACUAAGGCGCUUGAGUGAUUCACGGUUAAGGAACUAGGCAAACUGACCCUGUAACUUCGGGAUAAAGGGUCCCUACCCGGUGACGGGAGGGCGCAGAGAAUAGGUCCAGGCAACUGUUUAACAAAAACACAGGGCUGUGCAAAAUUGAAAGAUGAAGUAUACAGCCUGACACCUGCCCGGUGCUGGAAGGUUAAGAGGAGAUGUCAUCGCAAGAGAAGCAUUGAAUUGAAGCCCCAGUAAACGGCGGCCGUAACUAUAACGGUCCUAAGGUAGCGAAAUUCCUUGUCGGGUAAGUUCCGACCUGCACGAAUGGUGUAAUGAUCUGGACGCUGUCUCAACCGUGAGCUCAGUGAAAUUGUAGUAUCGGUGAAGAUGCCGAUUACCCGCGAUGGGACGAAAAGACCCCGUGAACCUUUACUAUAGCUUAACAUUGAAUUUGGGUAAUUGAUGUGUAGGAUAGGCCGGAGACUUUGAAGCAGGUACGCCAGUAUUUGUGGAGUCGCUGUUGAAAUACGGCCCUUUGAUUAUUUGAGUUCUAACCCGUGGUACGGGGACACUGUUUGGUGGGUAGUUUGACUGGGGUGGUCGCCUCCAAAAGUGUAACGGAGGCUUCUAAAGGUGCCCUCACGACGAUUGGUAACCGUCGGCAGAGUGUAAUGGCAUAAGGGCGCUUGACUGGGAGACUUACAAGUCGAUCAGGUAGGAAACUAGAGCAUAGUGAUCCGGUGUUUCUGUAUGGAAAGGACAUCGCUCAAAGGAUAAAAGGUACUCCGGGGAUAACAGGCUGAUCCCUCCCAAGAGCUCAUAUCGACGGAGUGGUUUGGCACCUCGAUGUCGGCUCGUCACAUCCUGGGGCUGGAGAAGGUCCCAAGGGUUCGGCUGUUCGCCGAUUAAAGUGGCACGCGAGCUGGGUUCAGAACGUCGUGAGACAGUUCGGUCUCUAUCUAUCGUGGGCGCAUGAAAUUUGCGUGGCUCUGACACUAGUACGAGAGGACCGUGUUGGACUGACCUCUGGUUUACCGGUUGUGCCGCCAGGUGCAUUGCCGGGUAUCUAAGUCGGGAUUGGAUAAGUGCUGAAAGCAUCUAAGUACGAAGCCAGCCACAAGAUUAGAUUUCUCAGGGUCGUUGUAGACUACGACGUUGAUAGGAUGCAGGUGUACAGGCAGCGAUGUCAUAGCCGAGCAUUACUAAUUGCCCGUUCACUUUUUG